UACGUAGGGUGCGAGCGUUGUCCGGAAUUAUUGGGCGUAAAGAGCUUGUAGGCGGUUUGUCGCGUCUGCUGUGAAAAUCCGGGGCUCAACUCCGGACUUGCAGUGGGUACGGGCAGGCUAGAGUGUGGUAGGGGAGACUGGAAUUCCUGGUGUAGCGGUGAAAUGCGCAGAUAUCAGGAGGAACACCGGUGGCGAAGGCGGGUCUCUGGGCCGAUACUGACGCUGAGGAGCGAAAGCGUGGGGAGCGAACAGG
rnacentral:rRNA from 1 species